rnacentral:rRNA from 1 species
UGGGGAAUAUUGCACAAUGGGCGCAAGCCUGAUGCAGCCAUGCCGCGUGUGUGAAGAAGGCCUUCGGGUUGUAAAGCACUUUCAGCGGGGAGGAAGGCGGUGAGGUUAAUAACCUCACCGAUUGACGUUACCCGCAGAAGAAGCACCGGCUAACUCCGUGCCAGCAGCCGCGGUAAUACGGAGGGUGCAAGCGUUAAUCGGAAUUACUGGGCGUAAAGCGCACGCAGGCGGUCUGUCAAGUCGGAUGUGAAAUCCCCGGGCUCAACCUGGGAACUGCAUUCGAAACUGGCAGGCUAGAGUCGUGUAGAGGGGGGUAGAAUUCCAGGUGUAGCGGUGAAAUGCGUAGAGAUCUGGAGGAAUACCGGUGGCGAAGGCGGCCCCCUGGACAAAGACUGACGCUAAGGUGCGAAAGCGUGGGGAGCAAACAGG